UGGCUGAGUGGUAAAGCGCUUGGCAUGCGAUCCAAUGGGUUUCAGGUUUGAAUCCUGG
rnacentral:tRNA from 1 species